CUUCCAGACUCCUACGGGAGGCAGCAGUGAGGAAUAUUGGUCAAUGGUCGGGAGACUGAACCAGCCAAGCCGCGUGAGGGAUGAAGGUACAGAGUAUCGUAAACCUCUUUUGUCAGGGAACAAAGGCGGGGACGCGUCCCCGGAUGAGUGUACCUGAAGAAAAAGCAUCGGCUAACUCCGUGCCAGCAGCCGCGGUAAUACGGAGGAUGCGAGCGUUAUCCGGAUUUAUUGGGUUUAAAGGGUGCGCAGGCGGUCUGUUAAGUCAGCGGUGAAGGCCGGGGGCUCACCCCCGGCGAGCCGUUGAAACUGGCUGUCUUGAGAUGUCGAGAGGUAUGCGGAAUGCGCAGUGUAGCGGUGAAAUGCAUAGAUAUCGCGCAGAACUCCGAUUGCGAAGGCAGCAUGCCGGCUCCACACUGACGCUGAGGCACGAAAGCGUGGGGAUCGAACAGGAUUAGAUACCCUAGUAGUC
rnacentral:rRNA from 1 species